rnacentral:rRNA from 1 species
AGCUCCAAUAGCGUAUAUUAAAGUUGUUGUGGUUAAAAAGCUCGUAGUUGGAUCUGCGUUCGGCUGAGUUGGUCCCCUACGUGGUGGCACUGACCUGGCUGAACUAAUCAUUCGGUUUUCUCUUGAUGCUCUUAACUGAGUGUCUUGAGUGGCCGGAACGUUUACUUUGAAAAAAUUAGAGUGCUCAAAGCAGGCGCUACGCCUGAACAUUCGUGCAUGGAAUAAUGGAAAAGGUCUUUGCAGCCUUUU